rnacentral:rRNA from 1 species
CUCGUAGGCGGUUUGUCGCGUCUGCUGUGAAAUCCCGAGGCUCAACCUCGGGUCUGCAGUGGGUACGGGCAGACUAGAGUGUGGUAGGGGAGACUGGGAUUCCUGGUGUAGCGGUGGAAUGCGCAGAUAUCAGGAGGAACACCAAUGGCGAAGGCAGGUCUCUGGGCCACAACUGACGCUGAGGAGCGAAAGCGUGGGGAGCGAACA